rnacentral:rRNA from 1 species
UGCCAGCAGCCGCGGUAAUACGGAGGGUGCAAGCGUUAAUCGGAAUUACUGGGCGUAAAGCGCGCGUAGGCGGUUAUUUAAGUCAGAUGUGAAAGCCCUGGGCUCAACCUAGGAACUGCAUUUGAUACUGGGUAACUUGAGUAUGGUAGAGGUAAGUGGAAUUUCCAGUGUAGCAGUGAAAUGCGUAGAGAUUGGAAGGAAUAUCGAUGGCGAAGGCAGCUUACUGGAUCAAUACUGACGCUGAGGUGCGAAAGCGUGGGGAGCAAACGGGAUUAGAUA